GUAAUGGUAGCUUAAUUUUAAAGCAUCGACCUUGUAAGCCGAAAAUUGAAGGUGCAAACCCCUCCCACUACU
rnacentral:tRNA from 1 species